CUCCGAGCGAGCCUCGAUUCGUACGCGCUGGCUGAGACACGUCCUCGUCAUCGCCGUUGUCGCGCUACCGAUUAUCAAAUCUCUAUUAGCGACAGCGAAUCACUCGUAAAACGAAACUUUACUGCCCGCUUGCUCGGCCGCGUCUCAGGGAGCCCCGAAGGCGCCGCGACGGAAGCCAGCGAAGGAUAAAGGGCGGAGAACCGGAAGAAAAGGGUGGAAAUAAACGGGCAAACGAUCAGUGGGUCACAGGAGUACAGUUUUCAUCGAGGAUCGGUAACGAUGCGUUUCACGACGUUGAUAUCAGCGUUGAGCCUGUGUGUCCUUUGCAUCCUUAUCGAUCGUACCAGCGGGUUCAGUAGGAUUCUGGAUAAGGAUAUCAUCUACUCCCCGGAACAAGUAGAGUACAUCCAACUAUCCACUGCGAGAUGUCCUAAUAACACGAUCCUGUGGCUGGGUGACCGUCGGUGUUACAGAGAGGGUGAACAAGGUCCCUGCAACAUCGGGCGAGUGCUGGUCUUGCAUCCGCUCUAUCUGAAACCUUUCUGCAAGGAUGUAGCGUUGGAGUGAAACGAUUAUCGUACAAGAUGUUUUUUAUCGACUGCGUGCAACUCUGCCAAAGAUGGCAGCACGUAUUCAAAACUACUGUACUGUGUGCUCAAUCAAGAAAUUAUUAUUAUUAAUUUUAGAAUAAUGAAAAUUGCGUCCCACGGUUUCGUCGUUAUCAUAUUUAAUUAUUUAAUGGCAUUCUUUUUGUUUUCAUUAAAAAAGAAUCGAUUCAUUCUGUGAUACGAUUGAUUUCUGUUUAGCUAUAUUGUUUAAAUUUCGUCUAGAUUAAUUUCAAAUGGCGCCAAGUACUUACGUUUGAAAACUUGACUCUUGUGUUGUGAAUUUAGAGGAAUCUGAAAGACCUCGACGUUCUGGAAUUGUUCUAGUUUUCGUUAUAAUGUUUUUAAAAGACGCUUUGUUAAGACUUAAGUAAAUGAUUUCAUCAAAUAUAGGUAAUAAAUUCGCAAUGCUUAUAUUUUUUAUUUAGUUGCUUUUUUCAAUUUUAAUUUAAAAUGUGCACAACUAAUAUUAUUAUAAUGAAUAGUUGAAAACGACUUUAUACUUAGGUGAUAUUCGAAUGUAAAUACAAAAGUGACGGAAUAAAAACUGUUCAGCUGAUAAAAGUUAUAAACACAGAAUAGAACUGUUUGGGUAAGUCAACUGCAAAAAUCACUUUUACUUAUUAUUAAUUUUACUUAUAUCCUUCAAUGUUUUUGAGUUUUUCAUUUAAUUUUGAAUCAGCUUUUAAUAAAUUAAUCGAAAUGCAAAAUAAAUAAAAGAAUUUUAUUACUAAAUAAAAUAAGCGGUUAAGUGAAAAAGUUCUGCUGUUUUCAAGUAACUUGAACCGUUUUUAGGGGUCAGACGCGCAACUUCAGAACCCACAUCUAUAUAAAUAUUUCUUAUUUUGUGUACGCUCUUUAUUUAUUAUCAUCUUGUACGAGGUAAUAUCAGUAUUAAUAACAGUUACGGAAUGCUCAUAUACUCGUUAUGACUUAUUGAAGUCUGUGAAAUGUUUAAAUUAUCUCACCAAUGUAGAUUUAUAAUGUUUAAUUAAACCAUAACAAUUUGCGUAUCUUCAGUACUGUAUUUUGUUAUGUAUCAUUUCAGUGUCUUAUAUAAUAGAAUUAGAGCGAUAUCACUAACAUUUUGUUACGAAUGAAUUAAAAUUUCUGUUGAAUAA